rfam:Camelus ferus unplaced genomic scaffold scaffold300, whole genome shotgun sequence.
GUAGGUAUAGCUCAGUGGUAGAGCACAUUCUUAGCAUGUACGAGGUCCUGGGUUCAAUUACCUGUACCUCCA